rnacentral:misc_RNA from 1 species
GUGAAUCAUCAAAUUUUUGAACGCAAAUUGCACUCUCUGGUAUUCCGGAGAGUAUGCCUGUUUCAGGGUCAGUAUAAAUAAAACUCGAUAUGGUUGCUGCCUAUCAUGGUGACCCACCGGGUUUGGGUCGUCUUGCCUUCGGUUAAGCUACAUAAAAUUGUGCAUGAUUUUUUUCAAACGUAUUUAAAUGAUUUUACUUACAUUUGCGGUAUCGAAUACUCGGUGUGGUCAU